rnacentral:rRNA from 1 species
AGCGAACGCUGGCGGCGUGCUUAACACAUGCAAGUCGAGGGAGAACGGCGGGCUUCGGCCUUCCUAGUAAACCGGCGCACGGGUGAGUAACACGUAGGUAACCUACCUCCGAGUUCGGGAUAACCUGUCGAAAGAUAGGCUAAUACCGGAUGAGACCACGAUGGUUUCGGCCAUUGCGGUCAAAGAUGGCCUCUAUUUAUACGCUAUCGCGUUGGGGAUGGGCCUGCGCACCAUUAGCUAGUUGGUGAGGUAACGGCUCACCAAGGCUACGAUGGUUAGUUGGUCUGAGAGGAUGACCAGCCACACUGGGACUGAGACACGGCCCAAACUCCUACGGGAGGCAGCAGUGGGGAAUAUUGGACAAUGGGCGAAAGCCUGAUCCAGCCAUGCCGCGUGAGUGAUGAA